AAAGUCGUAACAAGGUCUCCGUAGGUGAACCUGCGGAGGGAUCAUUAACACGUAUCCAAACGUUCAAAACCCCAAACGCGCUCUUAAUUCCCACGAGAAAGGUGAUUCAUAGCCAGGUGAAAUUGCGAGAUCGAUAAAACGGUCAAGUAAUUGCUUAUGAGUCUAUUUGUUGUCCAGUAAGGGCUACCGAUAUAUCGUGGCGUAACAAAGUCACCCGAUUGCUAGUGCCACCUCGGCGUGUCGUUCUUUACCUGUCAAAAGGUAAAGUCCUGGCUAAUCCGAAGCCUAGUAAUCAUAUUAACACAAACCCCAUUUUUAUAAACAAUUACUGAACAGCUUGUUAUGUGAAAGCAUGCAAGUUACUACGAAACAAUGAACAACUCUUAGCAACGGAUAUCUUGGUUCUC
rnacentral:misc_RNA from 1 species